rnacentral:rRNA from 1 species
UCCGGUGGCCAUGGCGGCGGGGCCACACCCGUUCCCAUUUCGAACACGGUCGUUAAGCCCGCCAGCGGCGAUGGUACUUGGCUGGAGACGGCCCGGGAGAGUAGCACGCCGCCGGAC